GACGAACGCUGGCGGCGUGCUUAACACAUGCAAGUCGAACGGAAAGGCCCUGCUUUUGUGGGGUGCUCGAGUGGCGAACGGGUGAGUAACACGUGAGUAACCUGCCCUUGACUUUGGGAUAACUUCAGGAAACUGGGGCUAAUACCGGAUAGGAGCUCCUGCUGCAUGGUGGGGGUUGGAAAGUUUCGGCGGUUGGGGAUGGACUCGCGGCUUAUCAGCUUGUUGGUGGGGUAGUGGCUUACCAAGGCUUUGACGGGUAGCCGGCCUGAGAGGGUGACCGGCCACAUUGGGACUGAGAUACGGCCCAGACUCCUACGGGCGGCAGCAGUGGGGAAUAUUGCACGAUGGGCGGAAGCCUGAUGCAGCAACGCCGCGUGGGGGAUGACGGCCUUCGGGUUGUAAACCGCUUUCGCCUGUGACGAAGCGUGAGUGACGGUAAUGGGUAAAGAAGCACCGGCUAACUACGUG
rnacentral:rRNA from 1 species